rnacentral:rRNA from 1 species
CUGGCGGCGUGUUCACACAUGCAAGAAGAAAGAGAACGGGAUAUAGCUUGCUAUAUUUGUCAGCUAAUUGUUUUCCAGGGUGAGUAAUGUAUAGAUAACCUGCACUCCCCCAAGGAAUAACAGUUGGAAACGACUGCUAAUGCCCUAUAUGCCUUUAAUACAUAAGUAUGCAAGGGAAACGCUUUAGUGCUAGAGGAUGGGUCUGUAUGGUAUCAGCUUGUUGGUGAGGUAAUGGNUCANCAAGGCUAUGACGCCUAGNUGGUUUCACACGAUGAUCAGUCACACUGGAUCUGAGACACGGUCCAGACUCCUACGGGAGGCAGCAGUGG